rnacentral:rRNA from 1 species
AGGAUGAACGCUGGCGGCAUGUAUAAGGCAUGCAAGUCGAGGGAUCGGAACAGUGCUUGCACUGUUUACGGACCGGCAGACGGGUGAGUAACACAUUGGUAACCUACCUCUAAGACGAGCAUAGCCCACCGAAAGGUGGAUUAAUACUCGAUAGUCAUAGCAGAUACUUUCUUGCUAUGUAAACCUCCGGGGCUUAGAGAGGGGCCUAUGUCUGAUUAGCUUGUUGGUGGGGUAAAAGCCCACCAAGGCGAUGAACAGUAGCAGGCGUGAGAGCGUGACCUGCCUCACUGGGACUGAGACACUGCCCAGACUCCUACGGGAGGCUGCAGUCAAGAAUCUUCCACAAUGGCCGCAAGGCUGAUGGAGCAAUGCCGCGUGCAGGAAGACGCCUUUCGGGGUGUAAACUGCUUUUAUAUGGGAAGAAUUUGUGACGGUACCAUAUGAAUAAGAGGUUGCUAACUCUGUGCCAGCAGCAGCGGUAAUACAGAGACCUCAAGCGUUAUCCGGAUUCAUUGGGCGUAAAGCGUCCGCAGGUUGUUAUAUAAGUCGAUUGUCAAAUCCUGAGGCUCAACUUCAGGACUGCGGUCGAUACUGUAUAACUAGAGGCUGGAAGAGGCAAGCGGAAUUCUCGGUGUAGUCGUAAUAAGCGCUGAUAUCGAGAGGAACACCAAAGGCGAAGGCAGCUUGCUGGUACAUGCCUGACACUCAUGGACGAAAGCGUGGGUAGCGAAUCGGAUUAGAUACCCGAGUAGUCCACGCCCUAAACGAUGUGCACUAGGUAUUGGGAGUAUCGACCCUCUCAGUGCCGUUUAAAAUAGCUAACGCGUUAAGUGCACCGCCUGGGGAGUACGAUCGCAAGAUUAAAACUCAAAGGAAUAGACGGGGACCCGCACAAGCGGAGGAUCAUGCGGUUUAAUUCGAUGAUACGCGGCGAACCUUACCUGGACUUGACAUAUAGCUGUAAGCCACUGGAAACAGAGGCCCCCUUCGAGGAUUGCUAUACAGGUGCUGCAUGGUUGCCGUCAGCUCGUGCCGUGAGGUGUACCCUUAAGUGGGAUAACGAGCGCAACCCCUAUCGUAUGUUACAUGUACAUGCGAGACCGCCGGCGCAAGCCGGAGGAAGGUGGGGACGACGUCAAAUCAGCAUGGCUCUUACGUCCAGGGCGACACGCAUGAUACAAUGGCCAGUACAAUGGGUAGCCACCUCGCGAGAGGGAGCAAAUCUCACAAAGCUGGUCUCAGUUCGGAUUGCAGGCUGCAACUCGCCUGCAUGAAGUUGGAUUCGCCAGUAAACGCGCAUCAGCCACGGCGCGUGAAUACGUUCUCGGGUCUUGUACUCACCGCCCGUCACACCACGAAAGUUGGUAAUACCCGAAGGCUCCCAGUAGGGGGACGAAGG